GACGAACGCUGGCGGCGUGCUUAGCACAUGCAAGUCGAACGGAAAGGCCCUGCUUUUGUGGGGUGCUCGAGUGGCGAACGGGUGAGUAACACGUGAGUAACCUGCCCUUGACUUUGGGAUAACUUCAGGAAACUGGGGCUAAUACCGGAUAGGAGCUCCUGCUGCAUGGUGGGGGUUGGAAAGUUUCGGCGGUUGGGGAUGGACUCGCGGCUUAUCAGCUUGUUGGUGGGGUAGUGGCUUACCAAGGCUUUGACGGGUAGCCGGCCUGAGAGGGUGACCGGCCACAUUGGGACUGAGGUACGGCCCAGACUCCUACGGGAGGCAGCAGUGGGGAAUAUUGCACAAUGGGCGGAAGCCUGAUGCAGCAACGCCGCGUGCGGGAUGACGGCCUUCGGGUUGUAAACCGCUUUCGCCUGUGACGAAGCGUGAGUGACGGUAAUGGGUAAAGAAGCACCGGCUAACUACGU
rnacentral:rRNA from 1 species